UGUAAGCGUAUACCAAAGUUGUUGCAGUUAAAACGCUCGUAGUCGGAAUUUGGCAGUUCCGGAUGUGUGCACGUCGUGUGCGCACUUCGCGGGGAUUGCUUUUGUGGUCUUGCGUAGGAUGAGGCACUUUUAUUAGUGAACGUCCUCACGCAACCAUUUUUUACUGUGAGAAAAUCAGAGUGCUCAAAGCAGGCAUUCGCCGUGAAUGUAUUAGCAUGGAAUAAUAGAAUAGGACUUGGUUCUAUUUUGUUGGUUUGUUGGGACUGAGUAAUGAUUAAGAGGGACAGUUGGGGGCAUUUGUAUUUCGGUGCUAGAGGUGAAAUUCUUAGAUUACCGAAAGACAAACUGCUGCGAAAGCGUCUGCCAAGGAUGUUUUCAUUGA
rnacentral:rRNA from 1 species